rnacentral:tRNA from 1 species
GUUUAAAUAGUUUAUAUAAAAAUCUUGACUUGUGGCGUCAAGGAGGCAAGAAAUACCUUGCUUUAGACC